AUUCCACCGGCCCAUCACUAUCAUGUACCGGCCCAUCAUCGCAUCAGCCGAAAUGAUUAACACAGCGGCACAAGCACAAUUUUCUCCAAGAGCUAUGCCUAUCUUAAUCUGACUGACUGACUGACUGACUGACUGACUGACUGACUGACUGACUGACUGACUGACUGACUGACUGACUGACUGACUGACUGACUGACUUUUAUACUGCUACUCGCAAUCGGUCUUCACACUCAUGCCGAAGUGUUCUCAACUGUGCGGAUUGAGGUAGAGAAUUUGGAUUUGCAUACAUACACGCAACGCGGCACCCAGUUCUACGCAUGCGCUCAACCCAUGAGGCCCAGUGAUGCUGGUGGCGAUACGAUACAACGACCCGAAUAUCUUCAGAUGGUUUGCCUUCUCAGAGAGUCUCAUAUGUGGAGGAGUCUACAACACAUCCUGCUGCAUGGACUGAGAGGAGGGAUAGGCAGCGAUGGGAACACGAUUGCCUGAGAGCGGUGGGGGGAAAAUGGAGUUCAUAAAUGAAUAGCCUGAAGAAACAGAUAGUACAUAUCAGAGCAAGUCUGAUGGAACACAAAGCAGCAGAGGACGGGAGACGUCGACGGCAUCAUAUGGAAACAGCUGCUGCCGCCAGACACACUGAACAACGACAAGCUGUGGAGGGGCCCGGACCAGCACCACGUCAGGCUGUCCAGAUGUCUUCACUGGGCUGUCAGGGAUCGGACGUCGCGGCGCGGGAUCCUCGGUGACGAGAUGACGGGGUUCCUCUUGUAAAUCUAUUGCUGAAACCCAGUUCUCAUCCCAGCAGCUACUUCAUACUGCCGAGUGAUAAGACAACACAACAAAUAUUUGCAUUUUUUUAUAUAUGUGUUGCUGUUUUGUUGAUGGCAAAUAUGAAGCUAAUUAAGCAUGUUUUCAUGUUUCUUCUAAAAAACAGCAUUAAUCCUGUACAUAGAUUAUUUAUUGAGGUCAAAAGCUAAAGUUGCAAAAAAUCUGAUUAGGCCUCGGAAAUAUGCCAGUCC
ensembl:lncRNA